rnacentral:lncRNA from 1 species
GUGCCUGUCCAUCGUGAGUUGUGAAAAGCCUAUAUUCUCAUCCUUUUGACUGAUAGCCUGCUUCUGAUGUUUUAGUUGCGACUCUAUUUUAUGGUCUUUUGCCCGGUGGUUCCAAGAUUAUGCGGUUUGUUUCUCACUGAAUUGUUCGCUUGAUGCAUGCUGUUCAAAAGACUAACCCGAUUUCAGCUGAACCGGGCGCACAAGGUACAUACUGACCUUUGUAUUUAAUGGUUCUCAUGAAAUUCUUUGGGUGCACUAGAAUGAUUUGUGGACAAAUUUCCGGUAUCUUGAUUACGAUGUGGCAUUCAAUUAAGCUAAUGUGGAAGGGCUAGAAGUUGUCAUCGAUUGUAUAUCACGUACUGGGAAUUAAAGAGCUCAAUAUUUUUGCUUGGAUCGGGACCUGCCUUUCAUGCUGUAUCGACAGAUUUUCCAUGAAGUUUUCAUAGGAAUGCCCUUGGUCUUCAAUGCCUCGCCUCGGAUGGAUGUGCCCAACCGGUGGAUAAGCAACUUUGCUUCUCUAGCUACCUUUCCCUCUGGUGCGCCUGUACAAGGCUCACCUCUCAGUUUUUUUUUAGGAUGCAGCUGCUGGGGAUUAACCCCAUUUUCCUUAGCAAAGAAGAAAAAAGAAAAAAGAAUAAAAGAAAGAAAUAUUGGUUGGAUUCUUCUGGUUUACAAUGCCUCCAAUUUCAGAUCAAGGCAUCCAUGUCCGAAGGAUUUCUUGGCAUUUGUGGAGCUUGAUGCACGGCGCAAGUUUAUUCAAUGAGUAAAGGGGGCUAGGGAUAAGAAGAUAAGCUUGAUCUGACAACCCAGCUAAACAUCUCUUUGUUAUCUUUGUCUUCGGUUAGGGACAGUUGCCCAAUUAUUUAAGGAUAUCAGUGAUGACUGAUCAGAUUAUUCUACGAUCUCAUUUUGGUUAGUCUGGUUAGUCUAGUUUGUAGCUGAGAAACCUUUGCAAAUUCUGAAGAAUUAGGCGACCGGGAGUACAGUGAAUCCAGGAAGAAACAUGGGAAGUAGAGCAAAGAUGGCUCGAAAUUGUGGAAUUCGGCAGGGUUCCAGGUCCCCUGGUUCCGUUUAUUUCAUCUCCAGGACUUUUGGUAAACAGGAUAAAAAAUACGCUCGCUUCAAUUCCAUUUGUCGUUGCAUAAUCCAAAAACUCAUCUUCUGAUGAGGUUUGGAUUUAAAAAUUGUACUUAAUAUUGUAAAUAGCCAUGGAAUUAGGUGAUGGUCUUAUUUCGUAAAGUGUGGGGUUUAAUUCCGGCCUGAUUCAAACUAUAUUAGCAAUAAUCCGACCUUACAUAUUAUCCAGAUGCUCUUGGUCAAGUGUACCCUGAUUGCUUACCUAAAGAAAUCACAUCAUUUUGAGUAAAUUAUCUAAUACUAAUCAUCAUUUGCCCAAAUAAGCAUGAAACUUAGCUAUGAUUCAACCGGCUUGCUCAUGAUGCUGAGCCAUUUAGUGACGGCCUGUUGAUAAAAGUCUACAAUUCAUUCAUGGAAGCUUUUUUUUAUAUAUAUAUUAUUAUUAUUAAAGCUAGCCUAGUAUCAAAAAUAGACUUACAAAGUAGAAAUUUAAAUUGAAUCAAUCGGUCCGACAGACCGUUCGGGCUCAAAACUGCUCGUCGGGACUCUGUUCAUAUAGAAAAUUAGCUUCUUCUGAAUAUCUUUUCCCUGGAGAGUCAACUCUUAAAUGAGACAUCUUAAGUUUGCAUAACUAAAAAUAGAAGCUUGGUGGACUCAUUAAAUGACAAAAUCAAGCUUUAACAUACUUUGUCAAACUCGACUUGAGCUUGAUUCCAUCUUUCUUAUAUACAAAGCUGCCCUACUGCUUGGCUUGGCUUGGCUCUCUACAUAGGGGCGAUCUAAUUGUCCAUGCAAGCCCUGUACCCAAAUUAAGUUUCAAUGCAAGCCCACAACUCACGUGCCAGCUUGAAAGGUGGGGAAAAGGCGAACAUCUUUCUACCUUUCUUGCCUGCCCACUUUUGAGUCCCAAAAAUCCUUGAUAAAAUUUCAAAGAUUUAUAACAGACAAGAUAGCAAAGCCAAAGCAGAAAUACUCUCCUUCUGACAAGCAGACAAAACUAGGAGCAUCCAUGACGGACGGGAGGAGGGCUUGUUAACCAGUCAUUUCUCUUUUCCUCAAAUUCCUCUCCUCAUUCUCUCUCUAUUAUUUUUUUUUUGUUUGCUUUCUUCCAGAAAGGAAAAGAGAGCGGCCCAGCGGAGAUUGGAAAUAAUAAAAGUCAGGGGAGAAGGAAUGGCUUCUUCUCCUCCCCUGGUUCUUCUCCUGCGGCCCCCAAACGCGGCGCUCUCUCUUUGCCUCCGCCUUUGCUUCAGCCCUCAAAACCCUAGCUUUCCCUGCUCCUCUCUCGAUGCUUCUUCCUUCCGUAGGGGAUGGGUUGGAGCCAAGAGACCUCGCGACACCAUCGGUUCGAGAGGCACGGUAACGCUCUCUUCUUGCCCGAUGUUUCUCUAUCUAAAGGAGGAUUUUUUAGCUCUGUUUUAGCCAAACUUAUUAACCCCCUUCCUCUCCCCCCCUCUUUGAAGUUUAGGAAGUGUGUUAGGCGUUGAUGGUUUUCUACUAGGGUUUUGCAUUCUUCUCUCUGUUCUGAGCUAUCUCGUGAAUUUUGGUGCAAUUUUUGGGAGUUGGAUUUCUCGCUUACGGUGGUCUGUUUAGGGAUUUGGAUUCAUGUUGGUAAAGAAAAAGUUCGUGUCUUGGAGAUCAUACGACAACUCCGAUAGGUGAUAAAGAGUCGAAAUAGGAGAUGUUGGAUGAGGCUUUUGUUGAGGGGAGUGGAGAUAUAAUGUUCUAGCCGGGCUUACCUAUGCAUGCAAAUGCCUAAAAGACUUUGGCACUUGAAGGAUUGAUUAUUAUUAUUAUUAUUAUUUUGUGUUUUUAUGGCUAUGGUUUUUCAUUCUUCUCGCUAGUCUGAGCUGUCUCGUGAAUUUUAUGCAAUAUCUGGAAGUUGGAUUUCUUGCAUAUGAUAGGGACUUGGUUUCAUUCUGGUAAGAAAACAAUUUGCAUCUUGGGGAUCAUUUGAUUAUUUCUGUGCAGAUAGGUCAUACAAAGUUGAAAUAGAAGAUAUUGGAUAAAAUUUCUGGAGGGGAGCGGCAAGACAAUGUUCUAGCAGGCUUUACCUGUGCAUACAAAUGCUCAUAAGAUUUCAGCACUUGAAGAUAAACUUCUAAUAUGAAAUGUCAUAUUCAAUUAUUGGAAAAAACGAAUGCAUAUUUAGUUUCUUACGUUGGGUGUUCUAUCAAUCUGAUACAGCUUCAGUGUUGUUUCAUGAAUGGUAGAUGAAAGUGUACUUAUAGUCAUUGGAAAAGUAAAUUUAGUAAAGGUGAUAUGCUAAUCUGAACAUGAAAUUUGUAGUUCGGUGAAGCUCUCUUUUUGAUCAUACUAGUGUUGGGCACAUGCAAUGCACUGGAAAGUUAGAACUCCCUGAUCAUGGAUUGUUCCAAGAAUUGUAUGUGUUUUAUUUGAAAAAAGCAUUUGAUGAAUAAUUAUGAAGUGAUAAAUAUACUUCUUCUUUUAGUUGAUAUACUUCUCUACUUUUCCUUUCUUAAUUAUUGAUUGGAGAUAAAAAAGAAUAUAGCUGGCGAUCUCUCCUCGCACUGAGAGAAAGAAAAAUGAAGUCUGAACAUACCAGAGAAGUGUUUUUGCAUUGUAUCUCGGAAGAGAGAGAAUAUGGAGGGAGGUGGUGUUAGGAGACGAGUCUAGUUGUCUUUCCAUCUUUCUUUUCCAGAGUAGUAGAGGUCCUGUCUUGCUUCUCUCUUUCUUGGGAUUAUAUUUAAAGUAAUAUCUCUUGGGUCUCUUUGAAAGCAAUGCCGGAUUGAUUCUUUGAGAGGGGAUUUAAAAUAAAAAAAUACAUGCUGCCAUGUUUUUCCAGCCACAAGGGCUCUCCCAUUAAUAUAUAGUAAGGUGUGAUUGGUUCUAUUAGUUUUCCUUGUCAUAUUGGAAGUACAGUAUGUGGAAUUUCAAAUUUGGCACUCGAUAUUCAUAUUUAAUAGGUCAUACCAUCAUAGUUUAGUUUCUUCAUUAUUCUUCCAAUGUUGUUAAAGGCGCAUCUAACGCGUGGUGCACUCCUAUGCACAAUCUUUGUGCCUGAUGCAUCAAAAUGGGCGCCUUAUGUGCCCCUCCCUGAGGCACUAAGAUGUUUAUGUGUUGUGCAUAUGUAUGUCACCAUGGUUGGCUACAAGUCUGUUGGUUGUGUGUUGUUUAUUAUGAUGAUUGUCUCUGUUUUUUAAGUUUGUUGUGCAUGUGUGUGUAUGUGUUUUUUGGGGUGUCUGGAAUCAUCUAGGUUCUUGUCAAACAUAUUUAACAUUAUAAAUUCAUUAUAUAUGUAUGUAUGUAUAUGCAUGUAUAUAUAUGUGUGAAUGCUUGUAUGUAUAUGUAAAUACAUAUAUGUGUGCACACAGAUAUACACAUGCGUGCAUACAUAUGCACACACAUAUGUACACUAUAUGCACACAUAUGUACACUAUAUGCACACACAUGUAUGCAUACAUAUGCACACACAUCUGUACAUUAUAUGCAUACAUAUGUACAUUAUAUGUACACACACAUCGCCUUACUUCGCUAAGACGUGCACCUUGCUUUGUGCCUUGCGCUUAGGCUUUAAGAUACUUUGGUGCGUUGUGCCUUUGACAACUUUGUUUUUAUGACAAUGAAGCAUCAAUCUUUAUUAUUUCCAAUUGUAGAACCUAUGUAUGUACUACCCAUGCAUUGGAAAAUUAUAGCUUUGCGAAUUUCAUUUUGUUAUUUAAAGAGAGUGCAUGCUGAUGCUCAUCGUUAACACUUGUUACCAGUCGAUAGAUAUGUCAGAUCUUAGCUCUAGCUUUCAAGCUUAAGAAUAGUCUUGUCAAAAAAUAACACAUAAAUUAUAAAAAAAUAUUGAAGAAAAAACAGAACUAGACAUCCCUGAAUGAUAAACUAAGUAAUGAAUUAAGUAUCUUUACUUUUUUUUUCCUUAAAAGAAGACUCUGUAGUUUUUAGUUAACACCAUAUAGGUCAGACGAGGAUUCUGUUUCGACUAUUAUUUAUGCCUUACACAUGAUAUGGAACACUGUUUGAUUCAAGUCUUCGUUUUUAGCGUUCUACUGUAGAAUACCACAGUGCAGCUUUUAUCGAAGUUUCACAUGAGCUAUUUGUUCUGGAGGAUAUGUCAAGGGCUACUGAAUCAUGCUUUCUAUUUUUCAUGCCAAAAAUAGCAUUCUGCUCUAUAAUACCACAGUGAAUCUUUUAUUGAAGUUUCACAUGAGUUAUUGUUCUGGAGGAUAUGUCAAGGGCUACUGAAUCAUGCUUUCUCCUUUUCAUGCCAAAAAUGUCUGUUGAUUUUCAAAGUGCAGAAUUUAGGUGAAACAAAUUACUGAGUUCUUUAUGCUUUCUCACAUAUUAUAUCCUUUUCUGCUAGAAGCUUAUGUUCUUUUCUUGUGUACUUUGUUAAUUUUAGUGUCUUGUUAUAUAUUUGGUUUUCACUUACGAUUUACUACCAGGGACUGUUUUUUUCAUGUACUGGUAUAGUGGCUUUGCGGAUAUUUGAGAGGAAACAGAGUCAAAUGUAAUUGGGGGAAUCAACAUAGGGAUGAGGCAAUAUUGUUUGGGCCUGAAGAGGAGAAUGGGGUCCAAGUUCCUACACAAGCUCAGUCUGUUGUUGAAGGCUCGAGCACAGUUGUUGUAUCAGAGUACAAGCCCAUACCUGAUAUCGAUUAUCUGCAGGUACCUUUUUCAUGACUAAGGUUUAAUAUCAUGGCAUAUCCAGCUCACAGAAAAUUUUUAUCAGAUGUCCUGUCGUCCACAUUGGAUUUGGCAAUUCAAUUACUUAUAAAUCCUUGAAUGGGGCAUUUUAACUUGUAUUCAGAGAAAGGCUGCGGUGAAUUGCCUUGGUAAAGUCAUGAACUAAUAAAUGAGCUUUAAAUAUCUUCAAAACCAAGAUAUUAAGAUUUAAUUUAUUCAAUUGAUAGCCUAUGAUUUUUCUGAAACACCAGCCUCUUGAAAUUCUGUGCAGCCUACUUGAGGGAAUAUGAAAGAAAGAGUCAAUGAGAAACAAUAUAUGAUUCUCUAAAGUUGAUUUCUGUCAACUCUUUGGGCUUUAUUGUUGAUAAUGUCUCAAGCUGUGGAUGUAUCUCAGAGGUUAAGGUGACAUAAACACAUGGUACUCCUUAAGUGAGAAGCUGAUUGCUUUUGUUCCGUAAUACAUUGCUGUAACUGUUGUAUAUAGUUCACUAUUGAAUACAAAUGAUAUUUCUUACUCAUAACGUAGAGGGUAAGCAACCACACUAGCACUAUUAUGUCAUGGAUUUAAACUUUGAUUGCCCAUCACAGAAGGGACAUCCAUCUUGAGUAUUCUUCAUAUUAUGCAUGUUAACUGAUAGUUUCAGCAGUUUGUUGAUAUUUAAGAACAAAUAUGCAUAGCUUGGAGAUUAGAUAUUACAACUUGGGUUUUUUGCAAUCUUUACUUAUCUGAACUUGCAGUUCAGUUGUCUGCGUUCAUGUACACAUACCAAAACAGUACUUGAACAUUUUAGCUUAUACCUCUGUGCACAUACAUUAGUUAUCCCUACACAGAUAGCAAUGUAUCGCUAUACACAGAGAGGGGUAGGGUUGCUUUUUCUCAGUUCAUUUCUUAUUCCUGUUUUUGCAGGAAUUAUUAGCCAUUCAACAAGAAGGACCUAGAGCAAUCGGUUUCUUUGGGACACGUAAUAUGGGAUUCAUGCAUCAGCAGCUUAUUGAGAUUCUAAGUUAUGCUAUGGUGAUAACGGUAGGAUUUUAUUUCUUCACUGCCAUUCUGGCUACUUAUCAUUCUUUCAAUCCUUUUUUCAUUUAAUCAUAAUUCUGGACAUUUAAACCUGUUAAUAUCACUGCAGAAAAAUCAUAUUUUCACUUCAGGAGCAUCUGGGACCAAUGCAGCUGUUAUCAGAGGUGCUCUAAGGGCAGAGAAGCCAGAGUCGCUUACUGUAAUCUUGCCCCAAAGCCUGAAAAUGCAACCACCAGAGAGCCAGGAAUUAUUGUCUAAAGUAAGACUGAUUUUUUUUAACCCCUUCCAUUUUGAAUGACAUAAAUGCAAAAGUGAGCUGCAUGUGUCUUGUUCCCACAGUUCCAGACUUGCUGUGGAGCAGACACUUUGAAAAGUCCAUAUAUGUAUAGGUUGUGUCAUUUGGAUUCUGUUUCUUGCUGCUUCUGUGACAGUCAUCAAAAUUUAAUGAUGAAUGAUGUUUAAUAAUUUGCCCUUCAUACUCACACAAUCAUGAUAUGAUUGUAUCUGUAGUAAAGAAACUUGGUCCCAUUUUAGUAGACUAUUCUAAUUAUAUUUUGUCAGUUGUUUCCAUUGACAGUUAUACUGUUGAUAAUUGCAUUUUAUUGUAAAACUUUUCCACAGCUAUUAUAUUGGUUUCCUUAGAUAUUCUUAAAGGUAAUCUCGUGCAUUCAUGUGCAUAAUAACACUAUGUAAGCCAAAUAUAUAUAUGUUGUUUGUUCUUGCAUUGCCUAAGCUUCCUUCAAUGAACUCAUUACUAGCUUAAUAUGCUCCUUGCUAUCUAAGGCUUCAUAUGGGCUGGAAGUUAAGAGACUGAGUAGUUUCAAUAUGGCUCUAUUGGGAAGGUGAUGGUAGAGGCAUAGGGUGAGAGCAAGAAAGCUUGUAUAGUCUCAUAAUUGCUUGUGAUGCUUUGUAAUAAUAGGCUGUUAAAGUCCAUAUGUGACUCUUGGAGUGUAAUUAUUGAAUCCUCCUAGAUUACAAGUGGAUGCUUUGGAACAGAGCUUUGCAGUUUUUACUUAAUCAAAUCAUGUUGGUGAAACUUAAGUAGGUUUAACCGUAGUCUUGUUAUGUAGAAAUUUUAUGUUUUUCUUAUUUUCUUGGCUUUGUGUCUGUUUUUGUACCAGUUGUUUGGGCGAUCGCAUGGGUUGAUCUGCUGCCACCCAACCCAAAAACCAGUCCAUGAAAGAGAUGGGAGGCGGGGCCUAUGAUUUUGGAGUUUCACUCAAUUAUGUAACAAGCUCUGGAAUUAUAUUGGUCCAACAACAUCCAUUGUGAAAUCUUGCUUCUUCCUUAGUAGUGAUCACCAUAGGGAAACCUGGGUUACUUCUGCCAAAAAGUUAUCCAUUUUGCCUUUCCAACUGCGAAACUAUGAACAAAUUUUUCCAUUAGUGCCUUUGCCCACCAAAUGAAUUGACUUGUUUGUGUAUUAGUAUGUCCUGAAGACAGCUGUUGCUGAAGGGUCAUUUCUUCAAGCCUUGUUGCAUUGUGGCUUGAUAAUUUCUUUAGGCUAUUUGGAAGGAAUGAGAUGUGCAAGGUUUAUUUUUCGAGCCCCUUUUGGUAUUAUAUGAUAAAUUUAAUUGGAAUGGACAUUCACUUGUUGAUAGCCAUUGGUUGCUUAUUCUACAGCCUGCUUAGGAAAUUGAAGUAAAUUUGCUUACAAUUGUGUGCCUCUCUAUAUUUAGUCAUUUCAUAGUUAUAUGUUUACCUUUUGACUUAUUCUUGGCCCAUUUUAAAACUUAUAGUUUUCUUCUUUGUGCGACUGUAUGGUUUUCCCAUCCUUUUGUAUCUUUUCCAUUUUACAAUACUCCUUUUUUGUGCUUGUGUAAGAUCAAAAAAAAAAAAACGGUGUCAUUCGUUCACCUCUACCUCUAGAAUUGUCCACUUGACUUCUUUAUUAAGUUCCAUAUAAUGACACUACAACAUUUGGUCAUUUGGUCAUGUUGUAGUCUUAUUUGCUAAUGGUGGUUUCCUUGUGGGGGAUUUACGGGUAAGACAUCUUUUUUUAUUGAUAAGAAGUGGCCAACAGGCAUUCAUUAAUAGAUUGUUAAAAUAUUACAAAAAAUCAGCCCUGGCUAAUUCCUGAAGAGUUGGAGGAAUAAAAUGAAGAUAUAUAUAAUAUAAUAGGUAUUACAUUGCUCAACUCAAGCUGCUUGGACCUGUCAAUCUGCUACUUUAUUCUGGGAAUCUUAAUGAUGUUACAUGUAGUAAACUUGAGUCAAAGUUGGUGGAUAUUGCUCAAGAUGUGGUGCAUAUGCCAAGGUGGAGUUCACCCAUGGUUGAGGAUUGCAUGGAGAACUUGAAAAUAAGUUAGCAGCGCCAGUAUGGAGAUAAUACGGUGUUCUAUUGCUAAUUCCAUGCCUUUAAGCAGAGAUGUUGCCUCAGCCUCCUGCAGGUCCUUAGCUUUUGAAUGCUCGGCAUAAGCAAUGUGAAGGUUGUGCUGGUCAUUUCAAAAACACCACCAACCUGCUCAUCAUGUUGCCCAGAGCCAACACAAGUUGGAUAUGCUCACACUUGAUUCAUGAAGGGGGAUGGAUGCGGAGUUUGGAGGUUGAAUUUAUAAUUGGGCAGGUCCGGAGAUUGAACUAGAUGAACUUUUUGUAGAGAAUUGAUGGGGCAUGAGUUCAGUUUCUGAAAGAGAUCCUGAGCAAUAUAUAUUGUCAUAUUGGGAUCCAAUACACAUCAGUUGGGGUAAUUAUGUGAGAAAAUUGUCACUACCUGCCUUGUGAUUCUCAUAUUCUGAACCUUACAGAAGCUGGAUUCUCAUAGAGCUGAUCAUCGUGUGUACUUUCUUGUAUGAUUUUUACCAAAAUUAAUUUAUCAGAAUUAGAGAAAAUAUCUAUAAAAUAUUAUAAAAAGGAAAUAUGAAUCUUGGAAUUUUCCUUAUAGGGUUCUAUCUAUCAACUUUUUUAUCGAAAAUGCCCUUCCUUAGCUCCUAAACUACCAUAAACUCCCCGUACCGGAUAAAAUAAGGAAAAAACUCACCAAUUUCUCUCUCUCUCACCCCCUCCCCCUCCUCCUCCCCAACCCCCACCCCCAAUUUCUCUCUCUCUCACCCCUCCCCCUCCUCCUCCCCAACCCCCACCCCCGAUCCCCUCCCAAACUAUCUCCCCCUUAAUCCAAACAAAUCUGCUCACAUUGUGUGCAGAUCUUCUCCCUUUUCUUUCGUCUCUUUUCAAUCCACUCACUCAAGAUGAUCUUUUGAUAUUUUCAAAAUCCAAUCGUGUUUAGCCUUCAUACCAUUUUUAUUUUAAUACCUUAUUAGAUUUCCGAGAAUAUUAAGACUUACGUUUUAUUUUAUUUCUCUAAUUUGUUACUUUUCAUUUUUCUUCUCUUAUAAUUAAUUUUGUGUAUUCAAUAUUUUGUUUCCUUAUUUUAUGUUUUAUUAUUAUAAUUUCUUAAUUGGUGUUUGUAGUUUUUAAUCAUUUUCUCUAAUGUUUUUGCAUGUGCCCAGUUGCUAGUAAUUUUCAAAAACAAAUUUGUAAAAUUUUACAAUUAGUUUGGUCUUCACAAUUAGCUUGUAAAAUUUGUCAUAUCUUUAAAAGCUAUUUAUAUCUAAAUGUAAUGCUUUUUUAAUAUAUUUCUAUUGAACCUGACUCCUCUCACAUAUAUCAGUGAAACUCCUUAUGGUGCAACUCUAGCCUUUAUUGUUCUUGAUGUGUCAUCAAUUUCCAGCAUUCUAUCUUCUUUAUGAAGUUUUUGAUUGUUCCCGAUGUCCUUAUCUGCCUAAAAGAAAAAUUAAAUGACUCAUUUAUUUCCAUCCAUGCCCCAUUUUUUCUGCUUAUUUUAAGCUUUAUUGGCUUAAAAGCAAUUCUCCUAAUUCGAUAUUUGCCCUAUUACACCUGAGCAAUUAAUUCUAGCCUCUCUCCACAAAGAAUUUGGUAUCUCUCUGAAGAUCUUUUUAUAGAGAAGCUCUAGGAGAAGGUGGUGUUCUUCUUGGCCCUCGCCAACUUUUCUAGGAAACCCCUCUUUUGUUCGUUUUCUGGCUGAAUAUUUGCCUUUUCUGUCUACUACUUCCUCUUUGCCCUUUCCUUGGAUAUAUUUCGGCAAUCAUAGUGUUGAUCGCUUGAUCCUCUCCCCAUUUGAAUUGAUUUUUUUUCCUCACAGCCCCGAAGCGAAAGCAUGUGCAGUUCUCCAUAUCCAUGCUCGAGGAGGUGCAUGGGGCAUUUCCACAUUGUCUUUCUCCAGUAAUUUGGGGAGGCAAGGAGUUAUAGUGUAAGAGCUUCAAGAUGAGGCAGUGGAGUUAUUGGAGGCUGUUCUACUGUUCAUUAUCUUGUUCCAGUGAGUAUUGUGCUCGAAUGUGGAAGGUUCUCCAGCUAUCUGAAGCAUGGAGAUGCCAUUGAUUUAUAUCCAUGUUCCCAUUGCUUAGAUGAGGAGUUAAUCCAGAGGCUACAUUUGGAGACAAAGGCCUUAAGAUCGAGGCAGGUUUGGUAGGGAUGUUGGCAUCCUCCACCUACUAUGUGGUUUAAUGGGUUGGUCCAUUUGGCCUUCUGCUAGAUUGCGCUUAGGUUGUUGCCUCAAUGACUUGUUCUUAAAUGUAAACUGUCAUUGCAUAUCGGUGGGCUCCGCCUAGUCCAGCUAUGGUUGACCUUAGGUUGAGGCGGUGCUAGGAUGGCUCUUUUUAUGUGGUCCAGUUGGGCUCCUUGUGUCCUCAAAAAUAGAUAAACAAAUAACCAAAUGAAGAAUGCUAACCCUUACCUGCAGAAUGCUAGCGCUUCCCCUCCUCUAUGGUUUUAGCUGUUCAUUGGUCUCUUUCAAGAAUCACUGUUGAACUCAAGGUACAUCAAACCGGUACCGGUUGGCAUACCGGUACCGGUUGGCAUACCGGUACCGGUUGGCAUGCCGGUGGCGACCUGGAUCGAGUUGGUACCAAUUCAGGCUGUACCGAAUCGGUACUGACCUGGUCCGCCACGCGGGAGCGCACCCGCGUGGUUCCCAGCGAGCGCAAGCACGCUGCCCGAUGUUUCCACGGGCAAGCGCGCAUGGGAUGCGUUUCCCUGCGUGAGACGCGUGCGGCGGCGUCAUUUUCUUUUUUUUUCCUUCUCUUCUUCCUUCUUUUUUCCGAUUCUUCUCGUUCCUUCUCCUCUCUCCUCCUCUCUUCUUCUCUCUUUCCCCCCUUCUCCUACGAGUAAGGAGUGGCGAGCACCCCGACGAGGCCUGGUACUAGUAAAUCUUCUUCUUCUCUUCUUCUUCUCCUCUUUCUCUUCUUCCUCUUCUUUCUUCCUCUUCUUUCCUCUUUUUCUUCCCUAUACGCGCGGGCGUGUUGCCCUGCGCGUACCGGUGGCCGAAACCGUUUUCCACGGCUGAAUCGUACUGCUUGGCCCCGGUACCAGUACGGUACGUGCUAAAUCGGUCGGUACGGGCCGGUUCAGCAUACCAUGGUUGAACUAGUACAGGACAUGUGAAAAGCACAUGGAUGUGAAAGGGAAAAAAUAGUGAAAAUGCCCAGUGCUAUGUUAUGCCCAGAGCUGUUUUGGAGAUCACAUGGCAGUUUGGUAGUUAUUGCAAAAGAGUCAGAAAGAGGGUGGAAUCCUAUUCGUAUUAUUAUAUUGCAGAUUUAAUAUAUUAUUGUGAUACAAGAUAUCGCAAGGUUUUAUUCAGUCCAAGGUAGUUGCCAAACUGGACAUAGCUUGACAUCAAACGAGAUGAUUGCUGAGUCAACAUGGUAUGAAUUGGUGGCACUCAUAGGGUUGGGCCAUUCAUGGACUGUUGCAUUUCAGCACUAUGGCUGAUUGGGAACCAGUUUGGUAACUUGUCUGGGCUGCUAGCUUUUCCUUAUACAGAAACAAAGUUUUUUUCUUUUUUGUGGGGGGUGGGGGUGGUCAAGUUCUAGUUUGAAAGACAUAUAAGAAGAGUUAUUUGGAAAAAGCAAACAUUAGUUUACUUCAAAGGUUAGGAGCAAUGCUGCAGGAGCCAGCCAUAAUGCCAAAACUUUUUCCUGCACCACUGGCAUGCCACAUGGCACAGAGGAUUGGUGCGGCCACCCAUAGAUGUAGUUAAUACAUACUAACCUAUGGUUUACAAAAACAGCUUGUAACAUUAUAACAAUCGUGAUCUGCGAGGGAGUUCAUUAUGUUAUAUAUGUUAAUAACAUGUAUUUGCAUAACAAAAGUGGCAGGGAGCAGUGAUUGAGGAAUGACCAGCAGCUAGUACAAGCUUUGCAGGGUGAGACGGAGUAAAAGGAACCAGAAGAGGAAAGAAAGUGAGAUCGCAUGACAGAAAACAAUUUGGCACUUUGCAAAAAUACAAAUCAACCAAUACUUCCAACUUAUAAUUCCACCCAGACAUAGUUGGCAACCUGCUAUCAUUUUGAGUCAUUGUUCAAUAAAAGAAUAGCAGCUGUUUAACUCACCUUAUACCAGAAGGAAACUUAGGGAGUACCAUAGCAAUGAAUGAUGCUCGAUUAAUGUUAUGUUUUGUAUUUUCCAAGUUUAAGGAUGUUACAGAAUUGCUGAAUAAGACUUUAUGGUUUGAGAGAUAAGGAUUACAUUAAUCAUUGUAGAUCCAUUAUGAAAACUGAAAAUUGAUAACACUGUUUUGCAAACGUUGACUUUGAAGAGUUCUUCCAUUUGCAAUUCGAAUGAUUAUUAUUUAUGAUGGAGUUUGCAAGGUAACUUUGUUUAUCUUAUAUGCAUGGGUGGCAUGGAUAAGUUAUUUACAUUUUUGCUGAACUGUGAAAAUGCAAGGUCAUGGACAUAUUCAAUAUUCAAGUCACUCGUUUCCUUCAAUUAUUUAAUUUGGUUGUUUGCAAACUGGUUUUUGUAUCAACUGCUCCAGAUGAUUUGUAGCAAUGAAAAUUAACGAGAGCUUAUUUGUUCUUUCUAAGGUCAAUUAUGCUACUAAUUAAUCAUAUUUCCUUUCUUAAGCUUUUGAUCUUUUUUUUUAAAAAAAGAAAUUCAAAAUAUUUUUUUUUUCAUUGCUGGUCAUGAAAAUAAUGAAGCACAGAUGUGAACUAAAUUUUAAUAAAUUUCUUAAAUAAUUAAGCUACUGAAUGGCACAUAUAUAGCAUGUUUUAGUUACAUAAAGUAAUGUGAGUUCUCCUCUUGGGUAUUAUAUAUUCUGUUUUACAUUGAUGAAAAUAGAGUAAGCAUUAUAAGCAAUGAACCCCCUAUGGUUAGAAUGUAGCUGCCCAGGCUUAACGUAUCCCAUGUUCAACCUGCUUAGGUCUAGCUGCCUAGGUUUAUGUAAGCCAAUCACCUAACGAGUGCCAGGUAAACUGCAUAUACCUAGGUGUCUCAGGUGAGUUAAAUUUGACUUUCUUUUUUUCUUUUUCUCAAUUGGCUGGGUCUUAGGCAGAUAGGUUGGAGUGUCAGUGCUUGUAGGCGAGGAGGUUAUAACUCUGCAUCUCUUAUUUCUGCUUAAAAUUCUUAGUUACAAGUCAUAGGUUCCCCGUCAUUUGGUAAAGUUGCCUGUGGCAUUAACUCAUAUGGGUCACUUGUUCUCUGGGUGAUUGAUAAAUAUUUUUGUGUAAUUUAGGAAAAAAAAGGUAAUGUUAGUAGUUAAUAUGUCUUGCUAAACUGAUACAGGUCUUUAAGUGUAACAAUAUUUCCUUAAUUUUCCAUUGCAUAUUUAUUUUUAUUCUAAUUUUUUCUCAUUUUGUUUUGUAUGCACAUGAUAUUUAGUUAAAAUUUUAAUGCUUUUUUAAUUACAUCUAUGUAUGCAUUUACCUAUGUGUUUGGCCUUUACCUAAGUGACAACUUGCUGCAUAACGUGACUGCUUUUAGAACACCGGCCAAGUCACUAGUAGACCAUUGUAAAUCAGCUCCAUGGGCCUGACCAUCAUGUCUAUUUAAGAGCAAUGCUUGGCAUGCUAGUGCCUCAUGUUGCUGUGCAUCAAACGAUUCAAACCCUUCUCAAAUAACCUUUUGUUUUUAAUUUAUCAUGGUUUUAAGAGAUCUUCUUGCCUUAUGGCUAGAACCAUUUAUCCAAGUUUUGGUACAAAAUAUUCCUGAGAAUUAAAACCCUUCUAGAAGAUAUCAAAAUAGACUUGGAAACAGAAAGAAACUGCACCCCUGCCAAAUUUUGGCAUUGAGAAUCUCCAGCAAAGUCUUCUGCAGCCAUGAAAAAGGAAAAGUGAAUACUAGCAAAAUACUUGUUCUUCCCCUCCACAUUCUGGUAGUUGUGCUGUGAUUUGUCUGUGAGCACUAACAAUGCUAUCUAUGACUCUAUAUACGCCAUGCACCUACGGAUUUGCAUGGAUGAAAUUGAAUGCUUGGGGUGGGGUGUGGGGAUCAAGUUCUUCCUUUAAAAAGCAAAAGGUAUUGGGUGAAACAAAUGAUAACGAGAAAAAUACUCAAUUUUGACAUUGCAAAACCAGUGCAUAUGUGGCUUCCAUAAAGUGGUUGCUCCUCUUAGUAUGGUGGGUGUUUGGAGGUGUUGUUCUUUCAGUAAAUUCCUCAUUUGAUUACUAAUGGUUCAUAAAUUAACAAUCAGAAUAUCAUGGUUCAACAACCUUCAAAAGUGCCCCUGUUUCUUUUCUUUUUUAUUUUACUAACCUUUUGCAGAUGGAUAGCUAACUGCAAUGCUUUGAUUUUUGUAUUAUCUAAGUAAAGAUAAGUACUAAGGAAUUAAGGACUAAAAGAUGUUUGCAAACAUUUUCAUGGGGAAAGUAAAAGAGGGUGAAGUUGUCGGGACCAAACUUUGGAAUAUGUGAUAUGAUGAUAUGGUUAUGAAGAUUCAUCAUUCUAAGGGUGGCUGUUGACAUCGUGGCUGGAGGCAUAUGACACCACAUAUGCAGAAUUUCCUGAAAUAUGUUGUAUCAUGCUAGUUUAGCUACUGUACCAUUAAUUGAAAUCUGAAACUUCUUAGAACAUCAUCCACCUUGGCUGCCCUUAUACAUUUAGCAUCAUGUGUCUGGGAUCAUCAAGUGGACUAAUUUCUGGUUGCAUGUACAUCUGAAGACAUGCUUUAUGCUUCAUUUUUUGCAAAAGAAAUUACUAAUUACUUCUGCUGGAACAAGUAAAUUCAUGAAAGUGAUUUCGAUAUACUUAUGAGAUUGUUUAGUCAGUUACAUAUUGAAAAGGCAAUCUUUUUCGUUCUUUCAUUAACUUUUUUUUUAAAAAAUUUUGCAGGUCAAAAAUCUGAUUGAGAAACCUGAGAAUGAUCAUCUGCCAUUGAUUGAAGCUAGCAGGUAUGUUACUGGUGGUGCAUUUACCUUUUUCUUGUCUAUAAUCACCAAAUUUGAAGAACAUCAUUACCAAUCGGAGAAAAUUCUACACCCAAGUUGAACUUUCUGCUGUGUCUUACAGAUCCAAUAGAGAUUGGAUUUGGUACUGCUACUUAGUUCUUACUAAUUUAUGAAUGCAUCAGUUUGUUCUUUGCAAUUACAGAGACCCUGAAGUGAGAAAAGAGCAUGUGUAUCUUUCUACAAUGUUUCAGCCCAUUGUUAGAUCCAUAGGAUCAGCUUAUCAUAUCCAUUUUCUCUCUAAUUCAACCCUGCUUAGGAAAUUUGAGGCCCAGUUACUGUUGUACCGUGACAGUUGUACCAUGAGCAAAUUGUUGAAAAGCAUGAUAGAGUCAAACUCCUUUGCCACAUUCUUCUAUAUUAUCUCCGUUAAGAUAUAAUAAGAAGAAAUGGUAUUCCUGUUCUUGCUCAGUGUUUGCUAAAAUUUGACUGUCACCCUCUUCUAAUAGUACACAAAGAAAUGCACACCGUUUUUUCCAGUUGGAGACAAGAAUCAGUGUUCCCGAAUAGCCUAUAUAAUUUCAGAGCUGUAAAGGACGUAAUAAUUGGAUCAACUCCAUAAAGAAUCGGACUGCAUCAAAUUUUAUUUCCUGAUGAAGCUAUGUCCUCCAUUAUACAUGGCUUGUGGUGGUUCAACCCUUGGUUACCACGCUGACUUUCUUGGAUGUUCAUUAUUUCUAGGAAUAGUAGGAAAUGCAGGGAGUAGAUGACUUUAUUUGUCUUAGUUCACUGCACACUUACUUCUGAUAUCCAUUGGAGCAUGAAUACAUAAUAUAAUUUCGAGUCUAAUUCUAGAAGGGACUAGAUAUUCUGCUAACACUUCGACGCUGGAACAACAGGCUCUGCAACAUGGACAUUCUCUCAAAGGUACAGCAAGUCAUCUGUUUUGCAUUUCAUGAUAGCAGAUUGCUCAUGGAGACCUGCCAGGAGGCAAAGAAUCUUCGAAAAAUUGUUACUCUCUUUUACUUGGAUUGAUCUCCAUAUAGAAUGAUAAGAGAUUCUAUCUAAUUUUUGUUUAUGAGAUGGCAGAUGGGGUUCCCUCAAUUACUUUGUUCUUUUUGACUCCCUUGAUAUUUUGGGGGGAAUUAGAUGUAUUUGUCCUGGGGCUUAAAAAGGAGGCUUCUCAUUAUUCCUAUUCUUCGAUAGAAAACAGUUGAAGGUGCAAUGGAGCAGUCAAUAUUUAUUGGUGCAUGCGAGAUAUUUAUAUUGCUGUCAAAGGCUAUGGUUUUUUCAGAAGUAUUUUGUUUACAUUCAAAUCAUAAUUCUAAUGCAAGUUAUGAAAGGAACAUCCAUCUGGCGCAGCGAAUACUGUUGCAGCUUUAGGGCUUGGCAGUGUUUUAAUCAUAUUACAGUCAAAAAGUCUGUAAGGACAAUUUCAGCUAUAAAAUUUUUGCAGAAAUAACCUACUUUAUUUUUUUUUUGGCCAAUCAGUCCGUAAUUUAUUUUUUGCAAGAAAUCAAGAAUGGCCAGUUUUAAAAUUUUGGGCACUUUUGUCCUUGCCUUACAAAUAUACUCCAGCAUGUGAAUAUACACUGCACGCGCAAGAAAUGUGCAUUCAUUACUGAAAAUAUAUACAUCCAUAUGAAAAAAAAGCACAUUCACCCAGAAAGUAUGCGCAUUCUUUUAUUUUUUUAAUGAUAUGCAUAUAUGAUCUUGGCUGGAGUGUGUUUGCUUGAGGUAGAUUAAAGUAUCUGAAAAUUUAUAAAUUCGACUUUUCUUACCCAAAAGAAUGAAGGAAAAGAAAAUGUGAAUCUGCAACAAGGAAAAAUUGGGCUGUUUUUAUGCAAAAUGCCAUUUUGUACUGCAUGUGCUCAUAUUAAACAGGUUGUUACUACUGGUGGCUUCACUUUUCCUUUUGGGUUGUGAGGAUCUUCUCAGAUCAAUCUUUGAAGGGAAUUCCAACAUUUCAUCCCUACUAAUAAAUGGAGUAAUAAUAUCUUCCUUGUAAGUUGCUUGCGGAUGAGCCGCUAGUGUUGGAACUUGGUCUUGAACUUUCAUAGAAAAAAAACAACUGGGAGAGUGCUGAAUGGGUUUGGAGGGGCAGAUAUGGCCAUGUACAGAUGCUACUUGACUGUGCAGAUGAUCUGAGCCAGAUUGAGCAAAUAGUUGGAUCAAACCAAAGAAAGACAUAGUUCCUCCCAAUGCGGUGAUAAUGGUUUAAUCAUCAAAAUCUAGGGAGCAUAAUGGUAAGUGAUAAAAUAGUGAGCGGAUCUCUCAAGAACAUAAGGGGUGCAAAACUGAGGCAGUGUUGAGUGCAGAAGGAAGUUCAAUAGUUCUGACUGCAAAACUGUAAUCCCAUUCAAUAUAAGCAUUUUUAAAGCAAAAUCUUUGAACGUGCCGAUUGUCAAAAUUAAACAUUUGAUCAUGUCGCACACGGUUUUUAUUAAAGUAAUAAUCAUAAUUGUGUAUGUCCAUAGAAUUUAGUUGAUACUUCUUGUUGCCGCUCCCAAAUUGAUGAGAUCAUGAUCACGCUAUUAAUGGGCAUUAACCCUCUGAAAUAGGUUUGAAUUGGAUAUAUUUGGCUCUUCUCUGUUGUUCGGUUGGGUCAAACUAGCACUUCGGCCAAUACCGAGGUCAGGAUGAUGUCGGCAUAUACUAAGGUUAGGUUGACAAAUAUAUGCUACAUCACUUCUCAAUAUCCAAAUAAAACAAAAAUUCAAAACUAUUUCGGAAUCGAAAAGAUAUGCCGAGAAAAUUUGAGGUGUUAAGAGUUGUAGGUCUUGGGUUUUCACAAUUUAUUCCCAAUUUUUCUUCCUCUCCUCUCUUCAAUUAUAGACGUGGCCGACAACAUUAUUGCUAGGCACUCCUAAAUCUUGAUCUAAGAGCACUUUUAUAUCCCUUUGAAAGCCUUUUAUUUUGGUUGAUCCCUUCAAAGCCGAUGGAAGGUAGGUGAGAGAAUAAUGCUGUCGUAGUGUUAUGUUUUAGUUUGAUCCCUCUCAUUCUCAUCGAACUUGCAAGUGAGAAGCAAUGUCCUUGGCACCAUAAUGCUUUGUUCUUUGGUUUACCAUCCAUGCUCUGUUUCAAUCUGAUAGCAUGAGUAGAUUUCGAGAGCAACGUACUCAUCAUCAAUGCUAAUACUCUUUCAGAUUGGUGAUUGAUAACACCUGUUAGCUGUGUAUCAUGUGGCCUCCUUCCUCAUUAAAUUGAUUGGCAGAGUUUUCUUUUCUUUUCUUUUGGAUUUCGUUUUCUGUCUUCUUGAAUAUGAUUUCCAAGGGUGCUGUCUCUUUGUUAUGGUUGGAAGGAUUGAACCUGUUUCAUAGUUCGCAUGAUAUGCUGCAAGCAUAUGACCAGUUCAGAAUCCAAGUGUAUUGACCCCCAUUAACUUCAACUCAGUCUACUGGACGAGACCACAUACUAGAACUUUUUUUUGUCUUUUCAGUUCUCAGUGUACAUGAGUGCAGGUCCCAAGAGGAACCUCAUGUACAGCUGCAAACAUUCCAAACAAAGUUACUUCUGAUAUGGUUCCAAGUUCAAACGAAUCCAAGGAACUUUAAACCUCCAUAACCGCAGUAUGCAUAAAAGCCAAUGAGCUCUUAUGGCCUCCAUGGUGGUGGAGGGGGUGGUGCUGCCGGGAAGAGCGGUGGCACAGCCGAGAACAUGGCGUUCUUGUCGACGCCGGCGCCGCCGCUGCUCGUCAGCGACACGAGUGCUGCGACGAGGCCUGCAUUGCCGGCGAGUGUGGGCUCAGUGUAGCCGUAGUUCUGCCUCGCGUCCUUGAAGACGUCAAAACGGUCAGGGCCGCCGACCAUGGCGCCGGCGAUCACAUUGGGAUUGGGCGAUUUGGCGUGGAACCACUUCCACCCGGCGGCGCAUGAGUACUUGACGCCGUUGUCGGGGAUGGACGCGCCGCGGUGGUGGACGUGCUUCGGGUAGUUCUCGCCAUAACCCACCACGUAACUCAUCUUCUCUGGGUUGUCUCCUAAGAUGUAGGUCACCUGCGAUACCAGGAUGGCUAAUUAGCUGCAGCGCAGCAGAGAGAAGCUUAAAGCGAUGAGAAACGCCAUAUUCUUAAAGCUUGCUUAACAGAGAAACUCUGUGAGAAGUGAUGGGAAAUGGAAGUUUCCAAAUCAAAAAUAGAUUUUGCAUAAAACAAGCAUCUAGGGUCUGAUAAUUUUGUUUCCAGAGAUGGUAGUAUAAACAAAUAUAUAUUAAAUAUUAUAUGCAUGUAUGUAUAUAUGUAUGUAUGUAUGUAUGUAUUAUGUAUGUAUAAGAUAUAUUUAGCUUUCAAGGAAAGUAUAUCAAGUACUUUAAAUAUCUAUCAGGUGACUUGUAUUUAGGUGGCAAAAUUAUCCACUAAUUUCUAAAGAGUUUUUUUUUUAUAAUGAAUACUCUCCUAAAUAUCGAAUUUUGCAUGAAUAUCCUUCCAAAAUUGAUAUUUGUAUGUAUACCCUCGUAAAAUACUUAUUUUGCUAUUCUAUUAUUUUUUAUGCUUAUUUUUGCAUAUGCAUAUAUGUCAUCUAAUGCCGUUAAAAAAUUAACAGUUUCAAAUUAAAAUGACUAAAACACUCUUAAUGGGUAGAUACACACAAAAAAAAAAACAUUUAUAAUGCAAUCGCGAUGGACGAUAAAAAAAUAAUUUUAAAAUUUUAAUUUAUUUUUAAUUAAAAAAAUAUAGUUUUUAUUAACGGUGCUAAAAGGACCGUCAUGCUAGGAGCAUUUAUACAAAAAACAAUGUUUAUGAAGGUAUAGAAAUAAAUAUAAAAUUUAAGAAAGUAUCCAUGCAAACUUGAAUUUUUAGAAGAAUAUUCAUUCGAAAAACCCAUCUCUAAAUGUACAUUGUUUUGCAAGAAUAAAAUAAAAUAAUAAUUCUUCUCUUACAAAAUCAACAGCAGGUAAUUUGUUUUUGUUAAUGCAAAAUUUCACUUCACUUCACUUCUUCAAAAUUAUUUAUCAUUUCUCACACAGUCUCAAUGAUUUAGCACUCUGUUUCGUGCUUUCCAUCUCUUGCACAAGUGCUGGCAUCUAAUUUUCAUGGUAGGUGGAAUUAAAUGAAGCAGAUUAAGUGCUGCAUGAAAAAAUUAGGAAGGGGUUGAGGGGAACCUGAGAGGCAGCGAAGCUCCGGAGGGAGGUGGUGGAGAAGUAGUAGGGCCCGCAAUACCAGCCGGGGACAUUGGCGGCGUCCAUGUAGUCGGCAAAGAGGGAAGCCAGGAACGACAUGGCCGCCGUAUACUGUAAUGACUGAGGCCGCCCAUGGUUCAGUUGGACUAGUCCACCUGCAUGCCUCCACUGUGUCAUUUAGAGAAUCAUUGAGCAAAGGAUAUUUCAAAAUAAAGGCCAUUAGAGAAAAAAAAAUGUGUGCGAUAAUCGCGAGAUCACAUGAUUUAGGUGUGUGUGGGCAAAAAUUGCAGGAGCUUUUCAUGCAUCUAGUGUUUUUGAUGCUGAUAUAACUCAUAUUGGAGUUUGGUAGAGGAGCGAACGGAUGUUAUCACACAAUAACUAGUAAACUGAAAACAAAAAUUAGGAUGUUGGAGGAAACUGAAACUAAUCAAGGUUAGCAUCUUUUGAAAUCGAAAUAUUAGCAGAUGCCUAUACAUCCAUCAUGACCGCCUGCUAUCUAUUUGCUAAGAACUUGUGUAUCUUAUAUUUGUUCUUAGAAGAUUCAAGGAAUUUAGAAGCAGCUUUCACGUCUAUGCAGUUGCGUUCGUCCAACCCUCUUGACUAGAAGGUAGAGAAAUAGAGUCCCACUUUACCUUUACCUGCGCUUCUCCACUCUCGUGAUCAUGUAUUUUUUCUUGUUAUUCAUUUUAAUCCCACCAUGCAGCAUAGAUUAUUUUCUAGUGCAGAUGAAGCCGUGGACUGCAACUAGAGGGAGGGAUGCCCUGGUUUGCGAUAACAAUGUACAUGAAAAUGAAGCUGGACUCUUAAUAUCGGGUAGUACAUUUUUUCCGAACCAUACAUUAGAUAGAAGUAUGCCUAGUUGCCUCCAGAGCACUAGAGGGAAGGGACUCCAAAUUAAAUUCAAGUAAAUAGAUUCCAAAAAUACUAUAUAUAUAUAUAUAUAUAUAUAUAUAUAUAUAUAUNNNNNNNNNNNNNNNNNNNNAUAUAUAUAUAUAUAUAUAUAUAUAUAUAUAUAUAUAUAAAUGUCUCACGUGCAUAGCAUGUAUCAAUGUUUACUAAUAAUUAAUAAAAGAAUACAUGUUGCUUCGAAAUGAAACUUGAUUCUAUUUUUUUCCUGUUUCAUGCCGUUCUCACAUUGUCCUCAGUUUUAUAGUCUCUUAGUUCACUUGAUCAUCUUAGCUAUGUAUAAUCAAGUGAACCAUAAUAUUUUGCUUAAAAGAAAGCACAAUUGCUUUGUUAUUAUUAUAAUCAUAGCUAAUAAACUAUCAAGUUAUUUGAGAAUAACUUCCCCCCUGGUAAACUAACAAGUUAUUUGAGAAUGAUUCACUUCCCCUAGUGUACAUACAAUGGUAGUAUGGUGUCCAGGCUACCAAUCGAUGCCAAUUGAAAAGAAAUAAUGAAUGCCAAUUGAUGAUUAGUCGAGAUCAUGAAUCAUGGGGAAUUCAGGACUUGCACAAGGUUUCUUCGUGUCAAUACUCGGAGAUCUUAUGAACUUAGUGCAAACAAAAAGAACAAUAAGAAAAGGGAACCAUAUAUCAUCCUAACUCUUGCAUGGUAAAGUUAGGCCAAUCCUAAUUAUCUUUCUCUAAUGCCCAUUGUUUCAUUAGCUACACAUGUUAUUCGUUUCAUAAAUUUCAUGAAAUUUCAUAAAUCCCUCCAGCUUGUUCUUGGGAGAGGUUCAGAAUUCUAACAUGGCUAGCUGUGGCAUUUCAUCAGCUUUAUUCCUCAAAAAAUUAUCCUAGCCUCCAAAUAAUUCAGUCAUUAUGAAACAAACCUUGAACCAUGAUGAAUUCAUGAAGAAUGCUAGAAGCACAUUACCUCGGCUCCAGUUGAAGACUUUGAAUUCCUUAAAACCUGAGCACAUAUUGAGCCCUGUGGCAUUAUGGUAUCCUCUGAGAGACUCCUCAUAAGGGUAUCCCGGGUUCAAGAACAUCCUGAACCUUGUUAAAAGUAGCAUGGCAGCUGGGAGCUUGUUGUCCCAGCUGAGAACCCCAAGGUCUGUGAUCCGCAUGAAGGCCUUGGCAUUCCUCGGCAACCUUGGAUCAGUUGCAAAGCUCAUGUAGCUGCUGUUUCCAGUGGCGUAGUACAUCCAUGCAGCACUCCACAUGUACUCAUCCCAGUAACCUGUUGAGUUGUAGAAGGGCUCAAUGUAUGGGUUCCCCCGGGAGUAGGGAGUCCGGCGACCCAUUCCCCUCGCAAACUUGUAAACUGUUGCUGCGCCUCUGAUGAGCUUCUUGGAGUAGGCGGCGUCGUCGCGGAAUACAAUGGAGGCAGCAGCAAGUGCAGCAGCGAUCUCGCCUCCUAAGUCUGGUGCAGAAUUGGCAACUUGUGUUCUUCGGGGGUAGUCCAUGUCUUCAGGCCUCAUCCAGCAGUAGUGAUCGUCUGGUGCGGUCGAGGAAUUUGUUGCCUCGCCAACCUGAUGAUGAAAGAAGAAAAAAUGAUGAGAGCCUGAAAGAGGGGAAGUUAGCAUGGAUUCAAAUCUAAGAAAAGAUACAGAAAAGUCUCAUAUAAUACUGGAGGUUGCUCUUAAUGAGAAUGGUUUGCAAACAAAGAUUCAUACAUAUAUGAUUACUGGAAGCCAAGAAUAUUUGCAGGCUGAGGCUUAGUGAUAGAUUGUGCAUUGCAAGAAUUUUACUGAUUGGAGAUGGUGUGAAGUAACUGUAGUGUUCAUAGGCAAAAUGGCAAUAAAAGUCUAUUGAUUCCCUUCAUUAAUAAAAGUCUAUUGGAUAAAUGCCGGGUUUUUUUUAGAAUUGUAUCGAAUGGAUUAUUUCCACAUGUAGAAGUAAUAGACCAGCACUAAGAUGGUAAAAUAAGAAGACAGCAAUAUCUGAGAUUAGUUGUAAACAAAGGCAUUGCAUGUAAGGAAAGGCUCUUCCAAAUUUAAUAGAUGAUUGAAGUCUCAUUGAAUUGUUAAGAGGAUUACAUUAGAAAUUUUAAAAAAACCGAUGGGAUCAGGAUGAAGAUAAAUGCUGAUAAUGAUGAAGCAUAUCUUUUUUAUGACAAUUGUAAUCCUAGAAAAGUAUUGUUUCUGCAUUUGUAAUUUAAAGAAAACAUUUCGAAAGAAUUUCAAAGAAGAAACUGAGGAUCAAAACUAUAAUUUGUUAACAUGAAAGAACAUUUUUUAAUAGAACAUUGCAAUGACUUAAAUGAUAAUGUUAGCUUAUAUAUCAUAUUUUACAUUAAAAAAAUAACAAUAAAACAUACGAAUAUCAAUAAGUCUAAACUUCCAUUGGAACAUAUGAAUUCAGAACGGAGUUCUGCCCCAGUAAGCUUUGAAUAAAUUGUCUGUCAUCUUAAUCAGAAUGAAAAAUUCAACCCUUCUAACAGAGCAGACAUUUCCCUCGUAUUAGAGACCUGAGAGCAUGCAUCACCAGAGCGUAACCACAAUGAUAGUUUCCUUCUUACCUGGCUAUAGAUUUUGUCAAUGGUUGUGGCAGAAGAAUUGAAGGUUUUAAGCAAGUAAUCAGUCCCCCAUUUUAUAAGUUCUCUGAUGUGGUUGUACUCUCCAAUUGCUUUGUAUUUAUGACUGUAUUCUAUCACUGACCAACUCAGGAGUGUCAUGGAGUAGGCCAUGGGGAAGUGAAAUUUUAUAUUGUCCCCGGCAUCAUAGUAUCCUCCGACAAGCCCACCCUCAAUAUCCGGUUGAUCGAAGCCAUCUUUGAGGCCAGAAUUUCCACGCCAAGAAAUCCCAUUGUUCUUUGGCAAGCGACCAGCUGAUCAAAAGAGUCAACAACAACUAAAAAAAUUAGAAAAUUAAUUCAUAACUUUAAUCUCUAGAGGGGAUAUUGAAUUCUGAAAAUUGCUUUGGUGCUUAAACACAGUGCCCUGAGAGAAAAAAAAAAAAAUCUUUUAGUUUCCUGUGACUCCAGACAUAUUCCUCUAGUUUCAUCGGUAUUUUUAAGAAUUGACAGAGACCAGCAAAUAAGACAUCUUUUUUAUGCAUAUUUUGAACACUUUCAGAUUUUUAGUUGCAUGAUCUGAAGAAACAGAGGCGAUUAACUAGUCCAGCGAUCAGACAAUUUUCUUUCUUCGCACCAGCCUAGUAUAAGAAAGUCUUCAUCCAGGAGAAAACAAAUGCCCAAUAUAAGAGUGAACUAUCAGUUAUCACAGAAAUUUUAAAGACUCUAGUGGAGAAGAGCAACCUUUGCUAUAUAAAAUUUGAUUCAUCUUAUACAGAAAUAACUCGAACGGUACUCUUAUAAGAAGUAUAUAUUGGCAUACGUAUUUGAUUAGGCGCUAGCUAGAAGCGCCAAGUUUUUAAUCUAUUUGUUUCCUCCAAUUAGAAGAAGUGUGACUAAUACAUGAUCAAGAGCCCAAGAAAAAUGAUAAUAAUAUCAAAUCAUCUCACUCUGCAGAAAAGUCAAUUCAUCAACCCCACAUUUCAAUCAUUAAAAUCUGAAUUAGUCUUGGAUUGCAUGUUCAUAAACAUGCAUCAAAGCAGAACUUAUUUGCAGAAGAUCCACUCUGAUCCAAUAUGCCAAAGGAAGUAGGAAACCUGAAUUUGCUAGAUUGAGGACAGAAUUAUAUAGACCAUGAGCCAUACCUCUCCAACUGGUUCUUGCAAAAUUAAGCAACCAUUUUCCUUCCAAAUUAAUCGAUAUAAAUAAGAUAUAUAGGACUGCAAGGAUGCCACAAAUCUGCUGCAUUCCAAUCCUGAUUAAUAAUUUGAUACAGAACCCCGACCCAUUCUUGGAAGAUCGAUAGCGAAAUCAUGAACCAGAGAUCCAUACAAGUUGCGAGACAAGAAGAAGAUGGAAGUGUCAGGAUCUUACAUUUCUGUGCAUUGAAGAAGAGGAGGGCCUUGUGGAGGGCCAUGGUGUACUGGUCCGGUGGCAGCUCCUUCUCCUUGUGCUUCGGUAAUGACUUCGCGAUGAUGAUGGGUAUGCCGAUGACAACAAAUGCAACCAAAGCAGUCCACAUGAUCCAUCCCACCACCUUGCGCUUGCAGACGACGCAGCCCAAGUCGACAUACUCGUCCUUCUUCUUGCUGCUGUCCUGCGGCUCGAGCAGCCAGCUCUGCUGCGUCUCGUCCAGCUGCUGCCGCGACACCGCCGCUCGGUCCAAAUCCAUGCUGCGGCCGUGCUCGUCAUCGGUGACAGGGUCGACAUGAAUCUCGAACGUGCCACCCCAAUGGUUCCCGGAGUGCAUCUUGGUAUUAGCCUUUAACUCAAUUAAUGCAUGGGAUUCAACAGUGGAUUGAAGUUGCAGCAACUUCAAUGGAACAGGACAUGGUUCGUUUCCUGGAGGAAUUCGGAACAAUCUAAAAUGGCCUAAUUUGCAUGGAGAGGAUGCCAAGUUAGAAGUCUCGAUUACGAGCUACAACAAACGAACUUAGAAAAGAUGUAUAUCGAGGUGAUGAAUGAGUAGAUGACUACCAGAAGCUGUCAAGCAGUGAUCAGAGGCCUCCAGAUACCAGCUUUUAUGAGUAUUUUUCUCUCGUCGAGGGAGGUGGGGGGAGAGAGAGAGGAGGGCUCUCAAGCUCUAGGGAAGAGCAGAAACUCUCUUCCCUCUUAGUCCUUUCUUAGGCGAGCAGGAGGGUUGACCUGAAGACGAGAGAGAGAGAGAUCGCAAAGAAGGGUGGUGGGUAGUUUUUUUGAUGUAAUAAUCUUUGAGAUCACUUUCAAGUCGUCGGUAGGAACGGUUGACUUUGGAAAUUGUAAGAAGGUUUGGCUUCCGGGGGAGAUAUAGUUUAUUAAAAUUGGUAAGUUGGUGCGUCAGCAAGGCAGUUCUCGUCGUACUUUAGGGAAUUGCAAUCAUAAUCAUAUAGUUUUGGUAAUUGUGAAUUGAUAUGGAACUUUCAUGCCAAAAUAAUUUAUAAAUUUUAGUUUGUACGUCCAAUUUGUACUUGGUUCGCGUGAUGUGAUUCCCACAUUAAUAUGCUUCAUUCCUUUGCAAGAUAAACCGAAACCAUCCAUUUCUCUGGACCAAAAGGAGUCGUGCCAAUAGAGCCUGCCGUCUACUUGGAUGGGAAUCAAAUGAAGCCCGUUUGAGGCUCAGAUUCUAAGGAAGCCCGACUUUACCCAUUUAGAAAGCAGGACACUCGUGAGAAACGUUCUUUAGAUCCCAACCAGAAUAAAAUAUAAAAUGUGAAGGGCUGAUUUGCAAGAAGAGAUUAACUCGGCUCGAGACGAUGCAUAUUACACUCACUUCCAGCUAAAAUGUCACUCUCCGACGGCAUUUGGAAGUCGCCAUGUACUCAUUUUUAAGUCGUUUUUGGUAGCAAAAGCCUUGUACUUAUCUUCCUCCAGUUGCAAGAUAUGCUCUCUAUCUCACACGCACACGCACACGCACACGCACACGCACACGCACGCACCCCCACCUGAUAACUAAAGUGAUCUGAUUUAUAUAUUUCUUAUCUUUCACAACUGAUAAGUUAACUCGUCAGUAUUUUUAAAGAAAAUUAAGAUGGGAGAAAACCUGGCCAAAAUUAAAAGAGAGUGGAACUUCAAAGGCUUUACCGAGCCAAUUGGUGCCUUUAAUUAAUUCAUCAUACUUCAUUUUGAUGCAAUCUAAAAGUCUGGUGCCCUUUUGAUCACACCUAGGGUGGCAAUCGAGUCGAUCGGAUCAGAUACUGGUCGGAUUAGAUGCGGAUCGGAUCAAAAAUUCAUCGACCCAAAUUCGAUCUAUUUAUUAAACAGGUCAAAAAUUAUAUUUUUAUUCUUGAUAUAUAUUUUGAAACUGUAUUUAAAAACAAUUAAAAAUGUGCAAGGCAAAAUUAAUAUAACUGACCAUUCUAAUUUACUAAUACUUGGUUACGAGCCACCUUAAAGUGGCAUUUUUUGUUAGUGUGAUCAUGUAUUAGCCUAUAUUAUAUUUCUUGUAUAGAGUCUGUAUACAAGUAUAUAUAGCUCCUAAGAUGUACCAAGUAUGAUGAAAAAAAGAAAUAAAAUCAUUUUUUUCUCUUUCUCUUGUUUUUGUCUUCUUUUGCAAAUAUUUUAACAAUGUGUAUACCCAUAUAUGAGCAUGUACAUAGGUUCAAGUUUGUCCUCACUAGAUUUCGAUCAGAUUUUGUUUUAUGUUCAUUUUUGUCAUUUUUAAUGUUUGUUUACAUGUGUUAAAAUUUAUUAUGUCCGCUGACUUUUUUUCUUUAAAAUUUAAGAGUAUGUUUAAGAAAUUGUUCCAAUAAUAUUUUUUGUGGCUUUACUAAGCAGCAUAAAAAGAAUUAAUCAAUCAUUUUAAAGAGCAUAUAUGUAAAAAAAAAAAAACUUGAAGGAAUAAAAUGGUGGAAUGAUAUAGUGAAUAGUGCCCCUACUUUUAGGAUCACAUAAAGGAAUACUUGUAGAUUUUAUAUUGUUGAAGAGGCAUAUAUGCCUCUGGCAGUCAGGCAUAUCUAUAGAGAAGCUAAUAGGGCACUAAAUUAGUUGAUAGAUUCUGGACGAUAAAUCAGUCCAUAGAAUCUUGACAAAAUUCUUGAUAGAUUCUAUGGACCGAUUUAUCGUCUAUCUCACUUCUAUUUUGGAAUAUUUUAUUUUAUAAUUUUAUAAGAUAUAUCCAUACUAGAUAUGUAUGGUCCGUCCGUUCUAUCAAAAAAAUAAAAGGACAUAUAUGUCAUUUUAAACUUUGGAAAGUUAUAUAGGCAAAAAAAAUUAAUUUCUUUUCGACCACGCUACAAUUAAGUUCGAUACAUUUCCAUACUUUGAACUUGAGAAGCUUCCUAAAUGUCUUAGGAAUAUUUUAUAUAAACAUGACAUAUGCAACUCAUGUAGUCUAUCUAGGGCAGCAUUUAAAGAAUAACCAUGAUCCUAAUGAUUAAAGUUUCUUACAAGUAUGAUAGAAAUACUUCUAUGAAUAUGAAGGAAGUCUAUUUAAAUAUAGUACCUAUAAAUGUAAAGUAUAUUUGUCAAAAAAAUAUAGUACAUAUAAAUGUAAAGUAUAUUUGUCAAAAAAUAUGUGAGCAUAAUGUGGCAAAAAUAGGAUUUGCCAAAAAUAGAAAUUUUGGCCCAUGCAGGUCUCGAACCUGCGACCUUCGCGUUAUUAGCACGACGCUCUAACCAACUGAGCUAAUAGGCCACAAUUUCUGAAUUGAAAAUUAAUAUUAUCAUGUUUAAUUUAUUUCGCUACCACUCUUCAGCAAUUUAGCAUCCACAUCUCCAUGCAAAUCUUAACACUUGUGCACUCGCUCGGCAGCAUUGGAGAUCUGGUUCUCAUCUAUAUAUACAAAUACAUAUAUGUAUGCAUGUAGUUGUGCUUGCCAUGAAGUGGUUUAAUCUGGUUCCAGUCUUCAUAUUAUUGGGUGCUACCAUGUCAGUUGAUGUUGUUUGACAUGCAACACUGACUUUUAAAUUGGUAACUGUUGGAGUUGAAAUUUGGCCUCAGGGUGACCACGCCGGAGAAAGCUGAGAAGACGCCGACCGAAAUGGAGAAAGAGAGCCUUCUUGCGCUCUGGGGUACUUGCACAAAGCUUUGGCUGGGAAUUUCGACGAAGGUCCUCCGAUGGCUAAAUUAGAGCUAAUCUAACGUUUUUUGGGAAAAAAAAGUCUCCGAGUAUUUUUGAUAUGGCUUAUUUAUAGUCCUCACAAGGGUGUCCAUGUGGCUGAGGUAUGACCCAUCUUCAUUAUGAGAGGAGAUGGUUUUGGCUAGGUGGCGUGUGGCCAAGGCCAGGGCUCGCUUGAGGCACACGGUUUGAACAGUUCUUGUGCACAACAUGGUGUUGGCUAGUGUGACAGAGUAUGGUUCUUGGUAGCAAGGCAUGGUCCUUGAUUGGCAUGUUAUGGCAUGGCCAGCAAGUAAUGGUUCGUGGAAAGGGGUUGGUUAGGCUGGGAUGUUCGGUCACAUGUACAGGCGUGGGCGCGCGUGAAAUAAUGGCCAAUAUCUGUCAAUAUAUUACAUGAUCAUGCUGUAGAAAAGUGUCUGUUUGCGCACCAGCUGGUGGCUUGACUCAGCUGUGGUUGGUAUCCAUCUCUAUUAAUUGAGAUGGGAAAGGACAAUUAGGUGGAACAAGAACCCAACUCAAUGACUUUUGAAGAAAUAAGGAAAAACCAUUUAGAAGUGCUAUGCUAGGUUACCUCGAACUAACUAAAUCUAAGAUGUGGUUUGGAUUAGCAUAGACAUAUAAAUUGCUAAAUUGGAUUGGAUUUGGAUUGGUGAAUACCUUAAAAAAAGGUUUGAGUUCAGGUUGAAGGCUCCGGAAACAAAACUCAAUCAAAAUCUAACUAAUUCUAGCUCGCUUUUUAGUCCACCUAAGCAUGUAGUUCCUCCAAAUCAACUAAACCCUCAACUAAAUCAAGUUAAUGUAGCUCAACUUGACUGGCCUGCCCAAACCUCACUCAGACUAAACUAUGUUCAAAUAAUAAAUAGUUGAGCUGAGUCAGGUUUGCUUUGGAUUGUUUGGAUUCUGAUUUGGAUACUUGCAAAGCUUUGUACGCUUUAAUCAAAGCAAAGACAUGCAUAAUCUCAUAAAUAACCUAUAGUACAUGGGUUUGAAAUUAGAUAUAAAAUGUCACAGCUUACUCAUAUCUAAAUAAAACAUCUUAUCAAACUAAUAAAGAGAUAAUAUCUUCUUUUUCUUGAAGGAAAAUGCAAGGGCUCAUUCCGAGCAAAAGAAAUUAUGAACAUAUCAACAUAGGGUAUGGAAUUGCGCUACGAAAAGAUAUCAGCAGAACAGAUUUGCGGCUAUUUAAAACCAUUUUCUAUAACUUUUUAAUUCUUCACUUUUGGAUCAUGUAUUUUCCCCUCUCAUUUUGUGCUCGACGAUGCUACUUGAAUGGCUCGUUAGUUAAAGACGGAAAAAACAAACCAUGGAACUGACUAGGAGCCUAGAAACCAUAAAACACAUCAAUAGGAAAGGAUAGGAUAUGCCAUUAAUAGGAAAGAAUUGGCUUGCCCCAGUCCAGCCACGUUGGAGGCCUAGGAGCACAUUAACAAAAUUACUAUUUCUAUAAAAAGUUAUAGAUUUCUUAUAAAUAGUACUAAAAGCUUGAGAUCAUCAAGUUGUGGAUUUUGAAAAAUUAGAAGGAUAUUGUCAUUUAAUUACAGAUACAGCUUUUUACCAUGACCUAUAAACCAUUGCAUUUUGUUAAGACCUUGAGAUAAUAAUUUUAAGUUUUGAAGAAACCUUUCACAAGAGUUUGAACUUAUCAAAUUCUGAUAUUCCUACAAAAAAAAUAUCCUUACAAAAAUAAAAAGAAAAUAAUCACUUAAUCAUAUAUCAAACAUCGUUAUUUUCUCAAUUCCAACAAGACUAGACAAUCAGAAGUAACCUUUCCCCAACCACUCAUGACCCUCUAAACUUUAGAUAAUAUAUUACUACAUGUAUGCUCAUGCCUACACUUUAACCAGUGAUAUCAGAUACAUAACUUCAAGAAUUAUGCACUAGGUCUGGAGAUGCAUGUGCAAGCUUUUGAUUGAAUCAAGGCUCAAAGUUCAAACGCAAUCUAAAAUUUCAUUAAAAGCAGAGAAGUUCUACAAGGUACUUCCAAGCUGUAAGAUCAACAAUAGAAAGUGAAAAGAUACUAGACGACCAAGGGAAAAAUCUUGCUCUUGGAAAAUCCUACCAACUAGACAUUAACAAAUUCACAAUAUCAAUGAAGAUACAAAAUCACACCAUAUAACCAAACAAAUAGAUUACAAACAAGUUUAUAAUCCCCAAUGAAGUUUAGAACCACAACAUACCAUCGAUUUUCAGUAUGUCCAAACACACCCAAGGAUGUCCUUUGAGACUUUCAACAUAGUUUUAUUGCAUAGAACUAUGACAAAGGUAAAUCCAGCAUACAUUAUUUACCAGUUAUUGCACUAAAAUUUAUGGUCCGGAAUCACCUUGAUCUAUUUAUAUAUAUAUAUAUAUAUAUAUAUAUAUA